UACGUAGGGGGCAAUCGUUAUCCGGAUUUACUGGGUGUAAAGGGAGCGUAGACGGCAGCGCAAGUCUGGAGUGGAAUGCCGGGGCCCAACCCCGGAACUGCUUUGGAAACUGUGCAGCUCGAGUGCAGGAGAGGUAAGCGGAAUUCCUAGUGUAGCGGUGAAAUGCGUAGAUAUUAGGAGGAACACCAGUGGCGAAGGCGGCUUACUGGACUGUAACUGACGUUGAGGCUCGAAAGCGUGGGGAGCAAACAGG
rnacentral:rRNA from 1 species